UACGUAGGUGGCAAGCGUUGUCCGGAUUUACUGGGCGUAAAGAGCGCGCAGGCGGUCGUUCAAGUCGAGUGUGAAAGCCCCCGGCUCAACUGGGGAGGGUCACUCGAUACUGAUCGACUCGAAGGCAGAAGAGGGAAGCGGAAUUCCCGGUGUAGUGGUGAAAUGCGUAGAUAUCGGGAGGAACACCAGUGGCGAAGGCGGCUUUCUGGUCUGGCUCUUGACGCUGAGGCGCGAAAGCUAGGGUAGCAAACGGGG
rnacentral:rRNA from 1 species